UUAUUCGACCUACGAAAACAAGUCAGAAACAGUGUUUCAUUUUUAUUUUCUUUCUACAGCUGAAAUUAUAGCUAUCGGGACAUCCAUCGGGAGCCGUCAACCGCAUUUCAGCUGGGAAUUGCUCGGUUAGUUUGCUCAACUUGAAUCCAAAACUCAGCACGGAUGCAGAAACUUGCCACCACCGGAAAAAACGCAGAUCCGCAAUCAUCCUGAAAUGAUAAAUAGGAUGGGAACAAAGCCCCUUUCAUGGGUGGCCGUCUACAUUAUCGGGAAACGGGAACGGAAUCACAGCGAAUAAGCUGUCACCAGCCUUACCACAGUCCAAUGCACCCGGGAAUGCCCCCAAGGAAAAUGACUACACCCUCGCAGUUGCCGUCAAGUAACGAUAGUAAAAAGCAGCACAAAUUACCAAUGAGCAGUGGAUGGAAUUAGUGGUUUCACCCGAUCCCGGAUCGAAAAUGGGACAAAAUAUAUGCAAGAUGCUACGCUUGGAGCAAGCAUGCAAAUCAUCUACAAUGGCCUGAUCAACAUCCCGGUCCCGCGAGAACUUGCGUCGAUAUAUAUUCCGUAGUAAAGCAUGUCACAACCCGUGUCUUGCACCUAGCAGAAAAUGCGUUCGUUUUCAUUCUGGAAUCGAUCACGCAUAGAUGGUGGCUCCCCGGCAGCUGGAUUUGUGCAUGUUGUCGGAAACACCACGAGGUAAUUUCGAUUGUAACUUUAAUUAGGCCUUAAUCCUCGAGGAAUCGCGCUCUGUUGUAUUUUGUACAACACGUUAAAAAAAAACGCUUUUUGUACUCAGCACUACCGCGGUGCUGACGACGGUGGUGCCCAACCGCGCGAGUUAUGAAAGGUUAAUUGAGUGCUAUUUUUUUUCUCAUAAAACCGUGGGAAAUUUGUUUCUGAGAUCUCUCUAAGAAAAUUAUGUUUGAAGAUUCCGGUAAGAGAGAAUCCUUCAAGAUAAUUUCUUUCUGAGGUUCCUCAUAAAAGAACUAGUGCGGAGUUUCUGUUAGAAUUCUUCUUAGAUUCCCCAUAAAACAAAUUCCUUUGGAGGGUUUUCUGAAUCGAGUUCCUCUAUGAAGAAUUCUUAUGGACAUCUACCCAGGAGGAAUUUCUUAGAAGAUUUUUCCAAAAAGAGUUGCUUUGGAGGCAUCUUCAAAAGCAAUUGAUCAAAAUAGGUUUUCUUCUUUUUCUUAGCCUAACACUUCAAUCGGGACAAAGCCCGCUUCUAAGCUUUUAUAUGAGCACUUCCACAAUUAUUAUCAACUGAGAGCAUCCUCUGCCAAUGACCACUUUGCAUGUGUAAGGUGGGGCGGGGCAAGAUGGGUCAGUGCCAUUUUCGGGCGCAUUACUCAUGUUUUGAUUAUGUUAAUAAUUUUGUUAGAUGACCAGCAUGAAUAUACAAAAGUGUGGGGCAUUGAUUGAAAAAUUAUUCACUCUCAUUGGAAAUUUAAAAAAAUGGUUUUUAGCCAUUUUUCUUAUGCGAUACAUUCCAUAUAAUCUCCAUAUAAACGACCGCGGGGCAAGAUGGGUCACCUUCAAUUUUGAACGUAUUUUUAGAGCAUUCAAAAGUUAUUUAUUUUUUGUUACAAGACUAUCUCAUGAAUGACUUCAAUCAAGCGGAAUGAAUGCUCAAAAUUAUAAUAUAAAAUUAUGAUAUUUUUUUAGUGAAAACAUCGCUUUUCUAGUCGCCUUAAGGACAGACUUGUUAGAAUCCCAAAAUGGCCGCCACAAUGGCCGACUUUGGCACCUACUCACGAUUUCAAGGGCACAAAUCUCUUCGUAAACAAAACCAGCGCACCUGAUCUUUUUAUUUUAAGCUUAUUACAAGUGAGCAAGAACAGAAUAAUAAAAUUCUUUGUUGUGUGAAGCUUGCUUCUUGAGAUUUGUGCGUUUGAAGCUUGGAUGCACUGUUAAAGCGGGAUGUUAAGACGUUUGUCCU